ACAGGGAGGAGCCAUCACAGAGAUGCCCUCCUUGGGUUCCUUUAAAUGUUACUAGGACCCCAUGCGUGCUAAAACACACAAAAGGGGUAGGCAAAGUAAAAAAGCC
rnacentral:rRNA from 1 species